UCCGAUUAGCUAGUUGGUGGGGUAAUGGCCCACCAAGGCGACGAUCGGUAGCGUGGUCUGAGAGGAUGAUCAGCCACACUGGGACUGAGACACGGCCCAGACUCCUACGGGAGGCAGC
rnacentral:rRNA from 1 species